CAGUUCCUAGUUUCCUACCAUAUAAUAAUAAUGUUAAAGAGCUGAUUAAAGGAAGUAAAAGUAUGAGACUGU